GUUGAAAUGAUCUCGACUACUCGAAGUAGUUUGUUGCGGCAAUGGAGAUGUUGCAAGCUGGGACACGUUUGCACUGCUCAUGUUGCUUAUGCUGUGCCGGCAAGAUUCAAUAUCCUCCCUGCUUGUCUGGCUCAUGUUACUUGGUGCGUACGAAUUGCUCCCGGACAUAUGAUCAGCGUCGUAAGGUUGGUGUUGUCGAGAACUCAUUGGCUUCAGAACCGACGAGGAUG
rnacentral:lncRNA from 1 species